rnacentral:rRNA from 1 species
UACGUAGGGUGCGAGCGUUGUCCGGAAUUAUUGGGCGUAAAGGGCUCGUAGGCGGUUUGUCGCGUCGGGAGUGAAAACUCAGGGCUUAACCCUGAGCCUGCUUCCGAUACGGGCAGACUAGAGGUAUGCAGGGGAGAACGGAAUUCCUGGUGUAGCGGUGAAAUGCGCAGAUAUCAGGAGGAACACCGGUGGCGAAGGCGGGUCUCUGGGCCGGUACUGACGCUAAGGAGCGAAAGCGUGGGGAGCGAACAGG